GAUCUUUUGUAGGGUUACUGGUAAAUCAGCUUCACCUCUCCUCCAAAGAAAGAUAUUAUCUUUAUUGUCUGGAAUGUCUCCAGGAAGAAGGGGGAAUCAUCUCAUCUUUACUAUCCUGGCCAGCAAACAAGUCUGUUCUUUGGCCUCUAGGGAGACAGUAUUUCUAGCUUGCAAGGCUUUUUGCCAAGAGAACAAUCUUGAAAAGGGAAAACUUCAAAAUCAGUCUGGCAGUGCUCCCCAAACAGCAAGAUCUCUCACCUUUUGGAGAGCUGAGACUACAAGAUAAACCAGCUGAAUUCCAAUGAAUGGCAUACGGCUCUGAGAAGAGAUGAAUCUAAAGAACGAUUUCAUUUCUGACAGAACAUUAGAGGAAGGUAUUGCUGUCAUCAAAGCAGCAUUUUUACUGCAUCCAUUGGAUGAAUGAAGAGAACUUCAAAGGCCUGCAGGAGAGACAAGAUAAAAGGAUCUUGGGGAGCAGAGAGCAUCCAUUGACCUACACUUCAAUGUCAAGUGAGAAACAAACUCUAUUUUGAGAAUUUAAAUCUCAACAACCAGAUCAACUGGAAUCUAAGGGAUGAUGACGGUGACUUUUUCUGACCCUCAUGACUUCAAUCAACUAAAGCUUGGACUCUAUCAUCCAAGCCCCUUCAUGAAUAUGCAUGUACCAAUAGCUUAAACUUCCCCAGUUUCACUGUUCAGAGAGACACUUCUUUGGGAAAAAUCCCUGGUAUUCUCCUUACUUGCAGCCAGUUAUAAGUCCUUCUCCAGCAAUCUGGCUUGGUUGUGUCCUUUGGUGACACCACCAAGAGGCUAACCCAGUUUCCAGGUAACAUUUCUACAUGAUUGAGCCUAAUUUAUAUUUAUUCAUAUUUUUCUAUAUACACAGCAUUUAUUAUAUAUAAAUAGUAAAAUGUGAUACAUUGUAUAAGAGGAAAGGUUGGAGUAGCAAGGAUUCCUAAGCUUGUUUGGGGAGAGAGCGAAGAAAACUUAGGAAUCAUCUGAGCUGGACUUUAAAGCUUUUUAAAGAAGGACCAUGUCUGUUCUCCACUCUCUAUGCAUAGGAAUUAUUCUGGUAUGGCAAAAGGAUGUGGAAGUGGAAAAAAGAAAUUGUUUGGAGUAGAAAUAAUAGAUAGACAUCCUUAAAGGAGGAGGAAGGACAGAUUAACAUUUACUUUUCUUGAGGCCCUAAAAUGUGCUAAAAAUGCUCUAUGAGUAGGAUUGAAGAUAAAUUCGAGGAAUGGUGGUUAGUUGGUAAGUAUGUCCACACCUGGCAGCUUCACAGUUUUCAGUUACACUCAAAAAGAGGUCAUUUACUUGGAAAGAACCAGGUAGCUGGCAACAUAAUUGGGCUACAGCUGAAGCCCUUAAACCUCUAAACUGCAAUUUGUAUGA